rnacentral:rRNA from 1 species
UACGAGGGGGGCGAGCGUUGUUCGGAAUUAUUGGGCGUAAAGGGUGCGUAGGCGGCCUGACAAGUCUGAUGUGAAAUCCCUGGGCUCAACCCAGGGCCUGCAUCGGAAACUGUCGGGCUUGAGUAUGGGAGAGGUGAGUGGAAUUUCCGGUGUAGCGGUGAAAUGCGUAGAUAUCGGAAGGAACACCUGUGGCGAAAGCGGCUCACUGGACCAUUACUGACGCUGAGGCACGAAAGCUAGGGAGCGAACA